CCACCCUGGCAACUUUGAGGUUCUAACUCUGGUCCGUUAUCCGGAUCGAGGACAGUGUAUGGUGGGUAGUUUGACUGGGGCGGUCUCCUCCUAAAGAGUAACGGAGGAGUACGAAGGUGCGCUCAGACCGGUCGGAAAUCGGUCGUAGAGUAUAAAGGCAAAAGCGCGCUUGACUGCGAGACAGACACGUCGAGCAGGUACGAAAGUAGGUCUUAGUGAUCCGGUGGUUCUGUAUGGAAGGGCCAUCGCUCAACGGAUAAAAGGUACUCCGGGGAUAACAGGCUGAUACCGCCCAAGAGUUCAUAUCGACGGCGGUGUUUGGCACCUCGAUGUCGGCUCAUCACAUCCUGGGGCUGAAGCCGGUCCCAAGGGUAUGGCUGUUCGCCAUUUAAAGUGGUACGCGAGCUGGGUUUAGAACGUCGUGAGACAGUUCGGUCCCUAUCUGCCGUGGGCGUUUGAGAAUUGAGAGGGGUUGCUCCUAGUACGAGAGGACCGGAGUGAACGAACCGCUGGUGUUCGGGUUGUCAUGCCAAUGGCAUUGCCCGGUAGCUACGUUCGGACGGGAUAACCGCUGAAAGCAUCUAAGCGGGAAGCCCCCUUCAAGAUGAGACUUCCCUGAGGCCUUGCGCCUCCUGAAGGGCCCUUGAAGACUACAAGGUUGAUAGGCUGGGUGUGGAAGCACAGCAAUGUGUUGAGCUAACCAGUACUAAUUGCCCGU
rnacentral:rRNA from 13 species